AGGACGAACGCUGGCGGCGUGCUUAACACAUGCAAGUCGAGCGGAAAGGCCCUUCGGGGUACUCGAGCGGCGAACGGGUGAGUAACACGUGAGUAAUCUGCCCCUAGCUCUGGGAUAGCUCCGGGAAACCGGGAUUAAUACCGGAUACGACCACUUUAGACAUCUGUUGUGGUGGAAAGAAUUUUGGCUAGGGAUGAGCUCGCGGCCUAUCAGCUUGUUGGUGGGGUAACGGCCUACCAAGGCGACGACGGGUAGCCGGCCUGAGAGGGCGACCGGCCACACUGGGACUGAGACACGGCCCAGACUCCUACGGGAGGCAGCAGUGGGGAAUAUUGCGCAAUGGGCGAAAGCCUGACGCAGCGACGCCGCGUGGGGGAUGAAGGCCUUCGGGUUGUAAACCCCUUUCAGCAGGGACGAAGCGAAAGUGACGGUACCUGCAGAAGAAGCGCCGGCUAACGUACGCGCCAGCAGCCGC
rnacentral:rRNA from 1 species